CAGGAAAUAGCAUAUAUAGAAGUG
rnacentral:tRNA from 1 species